GUCAAGAGGGAAACAACCCAGACCGCCAGCUAAGGCCCCAAAUUCCUAGUUAAGUGGGAAACGAUGUGGGAAGGCACAGACAGCUAGGAGGUUGGCUUAGAAGCAGCCACCCUUUAAAGAAAGCGUAAUAGCUCACUAGUCGAGUCGGCCUGCGCGGAAGAUGUAACGGGGCUCAAACUAGGAGCCGAAGCUGCGGAUUUAAUUGUUUCAAUUAAGUGGUAGGGGAGCAUUGUGUAAGCCUGUGAAGGUGUGUUGUAAAGCAU
rnacentral:rRNA from 1 species